AGGGGUAUAGCUCAGUGGUAGAGCGAGUGCUUGAUAUACACGAGGUCCUGGGUUCAAUCCCCAGUGUCCCCG
rfam:Camelus ferus unplaced genomic scaffold scaffold718, whole genome shotgun sequence.